rnacentral:rRNA from 1 species
UACGAAGGUGGCAAGCGUUACCCGGAUUGAUUGGGCGUAAAGCGUCCGCAGACGGUAUGAUAAGUUCUUGGUCAAAUCCUGAAGCUCAACUUCAGGGCCGCUGAGAAAACUGUCAUGCUAGAGACUGGGAGAGGUAAGCGGAAUUACCGGUGUAGCAGUAAAAUGCGUUAAGAUCGGUAGGAACACCAAAUGCGAAGGCAGCUUACUGGAACAGUUCUGACGUUAAAGGACGAAAGCGUGGGGAGCGAAU